GGUAAUACCGGCAGCUCGAGUGGUCGUCGCUUUUAUUGGGCCUAAAACGUCCGUAGCCUGUUUGGUAAAUCUGUGGGUAAAUCAACGAGCUCAACUCGUUGAAUUCUGCAGAGACUGCCAGACUAGGGACCGGGAGAGGUAUGAGGUACUCUGGGGGUAGGGGUAAAAUCCUGUCAUCCUCAGAGGACCACCUGUUGCGAAGGCGUCAUACUGGAACGGAUCCGACGGUCAGGGACGAAGCCUAGGGGCACGAACCGGAUUAGAUACCCGGGUAGUCCUAGGUGUAAACGCUGUGGAUUUGGUGUGUGGGGUCCGCAAUGGGCCCCAUGUGCCGGAGUGAAGAUGUUAAAUCCACUGCCUGGGGAGUACGGUCGCAAGGGCUGAGGUAAUACCGGCAGCUCGAGUGGUCGUCGCUUUUAUUGGGCCUAAAACGUCCGUAGCCUGUUUGGUAAAUCUGUGGGUAAAUCAACGAGCUCAACUCGUUGAAUUCUGCAGAGACUGCCAGACUAGGGACCGGGAGAGGUAUGAGGUACUCUGGGGGUAGGGGUAAAAUCCUGUCAUCCUCAGAGGACCACCUGUUGCGAAGGCGUCAUACUGGAACGGAUCCGACGGUCAGGGACGAAGCCUAGGGGCACGAACCGGAUUAGAUACCCGGGUAGUCCUAGGUGUAAACGCUGUGGAUUUGGUGUGUGGGGUCCGCAAUGGGCCCCAUGUGCCGGAGUGAAGAUGUUAAAUCCACUGCCUGGGGAGUACGGUCGCAAGGGCUGA
rnacentral:rRNA from 1 species